rnacentral:misc_RNA from 1 species
AAGUCGUAACAAGGUUUCCGUAGGUGAACCUGCGGAAGGAUCAUUAUCAUAAUAACGUAUCCACGUAUAAACCAAUUUAACUAUGUGAAUUGUUUUCUUACCUCUUUUUCUUUUUUGGAAUUCUUUCUUUCUUUUUAUUUGGAAUUGUGAUUUGUUUCACAAUAACAAAUUUAAGGUAAAGGAGAAUCACAAAACUAAAAAAGAGUGAAUUAUUUAAUCUUUAUUAACCAAUUGAACCGUAAUUGUUAUUCUUAUCUAUUUAGUACUGAAUUGAUUUUUAUAUUUCUCUGUUAAAGGAGAAAUUGAAAAUUAAAUAUUUACGAAAAAUUAAAGAACAACUCUUAGCAACGGAUAUCUUGGUUCUC